GUUGUAAUUUGUUUUCAUUUUAGUAUCUUUGAACCAUUGGAAACAAC
rnacentral:other from 1 species